rnacentral:sRNA from 12 species
GAGAGGAGGCUCCCACGUGAUGCGAAGCAGCACGUUAUAAUUGGGGCCGACGACAUGCCGCCGACGCCAGAGGCGGAGGGGCGAUACCUUGA